UACGUAGGGGGCAAGCGUUGUCCGGAAUCAUUGGGCGUAAAGAGCGUGUAGGCGGCCUGAUAAGUCGGCUGUGAAAGUCCAGGGCUCAACCCUGGAAAGCCGGCCGAUACUGUCGGACUAGAGUCCGGAAGAGGCAAGUGGAAUUCCCGGUGUAGCGGUGAAAUGCGCAGAUAUCGGGAGGAACACCAAUUGCGAAGGCAGCUUGCUGGGACGGUACUGACGCUGAGGCGCGAAAGCGUGGGGAGCGAACAGG
rnacentral:rRNA from 1 species